UGGAGAAGACGGCAGUUGAGAAUAAGAGGAGAGGGGAGAUACAUUAAAUUGAGGGCAGAGGAGAGAUGAAGAUAUGAAAAUAUAAAGGAGGUCAAAGAGAAAAGGGAAGAAUGCAAGAGGAGGGGCGAGAGAAUAUGAGAAGACAGGAGAGACGAAGACUAGGGAGAAUGAAGGAGAAGUUUGCAAAGAAAAGAGAGGAGAGGGAAAACAGGAGAAGAGAGGAGAUGAGCAGAGGACAGCAAAGUUAAGAGUGGAGACAGAGCAUAGCUGGGCAGAGGAGAGGCAAGAGCAGAGCUGAGGAGAAGAGAGAGGAGAGCAGCGUUGAGGAGAAGAGAGAGGAGAGCAGAGCUGAGGAGAAGAGAGGAGAGGAGAGGAGAGGAGAGGAGAGGAGAGGAGAGGAGAGGAGAGAGGAGAGGAGAGGAGAGAGGAGAGGAGAGAGCAGAGCAAAGGAGAGGAGAGGAGAGGAGAGGAGAGGAGGGGAGAGGAGAGGAGAGAGGAGAGGAGAGAGCAGAGCAGGGGAGAGCAGAGAAGAGGAGAAAACAGGGCAGCAGAGGAGCGAGGAGGAGCCCUCGGUAUGACAGGUUGAGCCGUAGAGGAGACGCCUCGCGCCCCAUCAGAUAACACUAUCAGCACCCCACAGACUAUCAGCACCCCACAGACUAUCAGCACCCUGCACCCGUUGUGGCGCCACACUGCACUAUCAGCAGCCAGCACCCGCGCCACAGCCUCAGCAAACGAAGAAUUCAACAAUGUCUGGUGUAUUUCCUCUCUAAGUCAGGGCUGAUCUCCUAUCCCGACCCCAGGAGGCGGAGAGCCGAGUGUCUGAUCAACCCGGUAGCACUGCUGCUCCUACAGAAGGGAAGGGCUGAGCCGGGCCAGGGCUGCCUUCUGCUACAAGCUGCUUACCAUACGUUUACAGCCAGGAGGAUCAGAGAGGAAACCCACCCAGCCUGGAAGAGGAGCAAGGAGGGGAG